GACGAACGCUGGCGGCGUGCCUAAUACAUGCAAGUCGAACGCUGACGCGAGGAGCUUGCUCUUGGCGGGUGAGUUACGGACGGGUGAGUAACGCGUAGGUAACCUGCCUUGGAGCGGGGGAUAACUAUUGGAAACGAUAGCUAAUACCGCAUAACAAGGGAUGACACAUGGCAUUUAUUUGAAAGGGGCAAUUGCGCCACUACAAGAUGGACCUGCUUUGUUUUAGCUAGUAGGUAAGGUAAGGGCUCACCUAGGCGACGAUCCAUAGCCGACCUGAGAGGUGGUCCGCCCACCUGGGACCUGGACACGGCCCAGGACUCCUCCGGGAGCAGCAAGAGGGGAAUUUCGGACAUGGGGGGCACCCCGACCGCGGCCAGCCGCGUUGGUGGAUGAGGGCUUCGGGUCGUUAAGCUAUGUUUUGCAGGAAGAAAGCGUCUCGGGCUGAAAAGUUCACGAAGUGACGGUACCUGACGAGAAAGCACCGGCUAACUACGUG
rnacentral:rRNA from 1 species